CCGGGCCCAAGGAAGUCGUACAAGGAGGCUGGUGAUCGCUUGGCUACGUCGAGGGGAGCGCCGACUCCUGUUUCCCGCACGUCCCCGGGCGGCUUGGGGGACAGCUGGGGCGUCGCGGCCCGGGGAAGGGAGCGGAAGUCAGCGUCGAAGCCGCGGAAGGAGGGGCGGCUGGCGGAGGCCCCGCAGCCCUUGAGGCCGGUUCAGCUGCACUAGUGCCCGAACGCGGGUGUGAGGCUGGAGUGUGGCCGCGCGGUGCUUUCUGUAGAAGGCAUUGGCCAAGAGCGUACUUAGCUUCUGGUGCUCGUCUGAAUGGCGGGAGUCUGAUGGCCCGGGGUUCAGUGUGACUCCUCCGAUUCCCCAACCAACCUCUCCAAGGGGCUCCCAUAUGUGAGAAUGAGGUCUGCAUCUCUGUGGUCCUCAAGUGGGAAACUGUCAGAAGAAGUGCGGGGGAAACUUCCAGGUUAAGGUGUGUGAAUGCGAGCAUGUACCGAGGGACACAGCACUUGAAAGAUAUUUGAUGGUACCAGAAAAGGAUAUGGCAAGCAAGAAUAUUUAAGUUGAAGUCAAGACCUUCCUUCUUGGUGGAGCUUCCCAGAUAAAAAAGGACUAGCUCUCAGAAGUUUACUCCUUUUCAAAAUGCCUGUUGUUCACGGAAGAUGUGGCCAGGGAAAGAUGGACCAUCUUUGGCAAAAUAUCUGGGAAUACCUGCCUGCAACUCAGAGUUGAAAUGGAGUGAUGACAUGGUGCAGCAUUUCAGCCAUUUUUUGGGUAAUUGGAAAAAUUCUAUUCCUCA